CUGAAAUGACCUAAAUGACUGUUAACAGGGGACAGAUGAGGAAACCUAGUAAGGAUAUGUUCCGUCAAAACAAAGGCAUAAAUCAAGAAGCAGGAUGAUGUGGCAUCCAGGAAACAAAAGAUACAACAGAGGAGAAAGGUGAAAAGAAUUCCAGGGAUGAUAGUGAGGGCAUAUUCCAGAACCAGAACAAAUAUGACAGCAGUCUCAAUUGGAGAAUGGGAAUAGGAGGCUGCAGGAGAGUAAGCCCUAGGUUAAGUAAAAAGAAGGGCUGACGAGUACCCCAACAUUUAGAGGUCCAA
rnacentral:lncRNA from 1 species